GAUCUCUUAGUCUAGCGGUUAGGACACCAGGUUUUCAUCCUGGCAACACGGGUUCAAAUCCCGUAGAGAUCACCA
rnacentral:tRNA from 1 species